UCCGAUGACGAUCAGUGCUGUCAACUCGUCCUAUUUUAUUAUUAUCAAAUUAUUAAUUGAUUGAUAUUUAUUAAACAAUGCAUACGGACUUUGGGAAAUAUUUCAGUCAACUGAACAUUAUAUAAAGCAACCAGCCCAGCCGCAACUCUGCUGUUGCACCUGUUUGUGUCUCUAAACUCGUUUCUCGCUCCUUUUUAGAGUGCCCACAGCUAAUGUGCAGCAAAGUUGAGCGGAAAUAUGUAACUGUGCUCUGUGGAAAUGCGAAUAAAUUGAAAUAGUGCGGAGCGGUGUAUUUUCACUGGAAUAAUGCUCGUGGAGUACAUAUUGCAUUAAAUCAGAGUUAUGCCCG